rnacentral:rRNA from 1 species
CAGCAGCCGCGGGAAUACGUAGGGCGCAAGCGUUGUCCGGAAUUAUUGGGCGUAAAGAGCUCGUAGGCGGUCUGUCGCGUCUGGUGUGAAAUCCCGAGGCUCAACCUCGGGCUUGCAUCGGGUACGGGCAGACUAGAGUGCGGUAGGGGAGACUGGAAUUCCUGGUGUAGCGGUGGAAUGCGCAGAUAUCAGGAGGAACACCGAUGGCGAAGGCAGGUCUCUGGGCCGCAACUGACGCUGAGGAGCGAAAGCAUGGGGAGCGAACAGGAUUAGAUACCCCCGUAGUCCCUGUCUCUUAUAC